rnacentral:rRNA from 1 species
GACAAACGCUGGCGGCGUGCCUAACACAUGCAAGUCGAACGCUCUCUGUUCGCAAGGACAGAGGGAGUGGCGGACGGGUGAGUAACACGUGGGUAACCUACUCUGAGGUGAGGAAUACCACCGAGAAAUCGGUGACAAUACCGCAUAGGCUUCGUAAGAAGCAAAGCUUCGCGUCGUACAACGAGGCGAGGCACCACAGAAGGGGCCUGCGUCCGAUUAGCUAGUUGGUGGGGUAAGAGCCUACCAAGGCAACGAUCGGUAGCUGGUCUGAGAGGAC